UAGCAAUACUUUGGUGGCGACCGGCGCACGGGUGCGUAACGCGUAUGCAACCUACCUUUAACAGGGGCAUAACACUGAGAAAUUGGUACUAAUUCCCCAUAACAUUCGAGAAGGCAUCUUCUUGGGUUAAAAACUCCGGUGGUUAAAGAUGGGCAUGCGUUGUAUUAGCUAGUUGGUGAGGUAACGGCUCACCAAGGCAACGAUACAUAGGGGGACUGAGAGGUUAACCCCCCACAUUGGUACUGAGACACGGACCAAACUCCUACGGAAGGCAGCAG
rnacentral:rRNA from 1 species